UCCUACGGGGGGCAGCAGUAGGGAAUUUUCGUCAAUGGGCGCAAGCCUGAACGAGCAAUGCCGCGUGAACGAGGAAGGUCUUCGGAUCGUAAAGUUCUGUUGAAGGGGAAAAAGAGCGGAGAGAGGAAAUGGUCUCCGAUUGAUAUUACCCUUCGAGGAAGUCACGGCUAACUACGUGCCAGCAGCCGCGGUAAUACGUAGGUGGCGAGCAUUAUCCGGAAUGAUUGGGCGUAAAGGGUGCGUAGGCGGCCUGCUAAGUCUGGAGUGAAAGGUACCGGCUCAACCGGUACAGGCUCUGGAAACUG
rnacentral:rRNA from 1 species